GGUAUCCUUCAAGGAUAAAGAUAUUAGGAACCAUCGUUUCUGCUGGAACAUUUUUUAUUUCCUCUUCAAAGGGUCAUCUCGGGGCAGCCACAGCCAUGGAAACAGAAUGUGGCAGGUGUAGCUGUGCUCUGCAUUAGGGCCUGAUUUUCCCCCGGCGGGGAGGAGAAAGGCUGCGGUCAGGGAAGAUGAAUGGAUCCGGGCGGUUUUGUCACGGUCUGCAAAGAGCACAUUCUCCCAGUGCCUCCAUCAAUCAGGCUCCAGUAUUGAAAGCCCUCUGCUAUCACUUUUGAGUGACUUGCAGCCCUUUUGUGUCACCGGCAAGGGACUUCUCAUCUGCUUGGGUGACCCAGAAGUGGGAGGUAGCUGGCAGUGGGGCCCGACCCACAAUGAAGAGUACGUGUCUUUGUUUCUUUGUUCCUGCCCAGCGGCUGGGAAUGGAGGAUAUGUGGAGAUCCCCCUAAGAAGACACAGGGUCGCUGGUUUGGUCAAGCAUGGACGAAGCUAUUGGUACCUUCUCAUGGGGAUGGGACAGGUUGCGACACUGGGGGAAGUCAUGGGAGGCUGCUUUCGCUAGCCGUCACCAUGGUGGGAAGUGAGGAGGUGGGCUCUGGAAAAAGCAAACGUACAAACCACUCUCUGCCUCAGUUUCCCAAAACUGUAACACGAGAGUGACCGUGCCUACCUUGUAAGGAUGUAGCAAGGAUUAAAAAUAGUCACAUAAGACGUCGGAUGUGUAGUGAGAAGACGGUGUGUAGCAACAAAGAUCGCAAACCAGAUUCAGAUUCUAUCAGUCUUCACGGUAUGAGACAGAUGCUCCUUCAUUUUGGAUGAGCCGUGUUUAUUUACUGAGAGCCUCCCGUGCAUUAGGGCCCUAGGUUAGCCUCUGAGGACACACGUAUGACGGAGAUCUGGCCCUCAUGAGGAGCUUAUAGUGAAUCGACAGCCAGUGUUUGUAGAACACCUGUGCGGCCGCAGGAUACCAGAGUCCAGAUAAUAGAAGGAACUCACAUGAAGUCCCGGAGCUGUUAUUUCCAGAAUCCGCAACCAGGCCUCCUAAUAUUACAUCCAGGGAUAUGUCCAUGGGCUGAUAGCUCUUGUUUUAAGAAAAGAACAGAGCCAGUUACAUCAUUCGGAACAAAGGCCCUGCAAGGGCUGAGCUACCCAGAGACCAGACCAGGUUAGUGAAUGUAACUGACCAAAUAAAAACGAACUGGAGGACGAAGUGUGAUCACACUGGAGAAGGGAGUCAUCAUUUGCCAGAACUGAAUUUCUCAUCUGCUGGCUUAGGGAGCCCUUGGCUGCCUCUUCCUUUCCAGGCUGGGCAAACAGGUCAUUCUGAUCAUCCAAGAGAUGUCAGCCUCCGGUGAUGUCAGCCUCCCCCUGAGCCCAUUAUCACAUGCACUCGACUGUCGACUGUCGUUCUCUAGAGCCCCUGGAUCUCAGCUCAGGAGUGACUCAGCAAGGGUGAGACGGCGCUCCUCCUUCAGAGAGGAGUCUGGUUUUCCUCAGGAAGAAUGUUCUGAAAUGUUCCUGCUAAUCCAGAUGUAUGUGCUUUUCAGCCAUUUCAGACCCAAAUGGAAACGAUGCUGGCAUUUGAGGGACAGGAGAGCAGCUCGCUGCAUGUAUUUCCUUGAGAUAACUAGGGCACUGGGCUUGUUGACUGUCCAUUUCCAGCAGGAUGGAUGAAAUGAAUUCUACCCAUGAGUGAUGCUGUGCUCCCACCCAUCUUUCUCGGGAGCAACUUGAAAGGCCGACUGGUUUAUUGCUUUUAUUCUCUCAGCUCAAGGCCUGAGUCAUUCCAUUAAGUGACUGUUGUGCUUUGGCCUUCUCCCAGCCACCAGCUGCCGGAUACCAGAUUGGCAUGAAGCAGAGACCAGACUACCUCACAGCAAGUCUUAUUUCUGCUCUGAGUCCGUGAUUCUCAGAAGAUGUGGAAGGGCCUGAAGGAGCGAGUCCUUUGCAAUGGAGAGGGAAUAGAGACUGCCUCCUCAUUUGGAAGCUAACUGCUUGAGAGGACUUGGAGAACUGCCCUUGGCGGUCCUGCUUGGGUUUUUAUACCUUCUUCAUGGCAGCAGGGAGGGGAGGCACACUGGGAUGAUUCAGAAUACGAGAAACCAGGUUCCAGAGCUGUAGGCGUCGGUCAGAACUGCAGGCAGCUCUAGGUGCUCCUGGAAACUCCCCGAAGAAUGAUGAGGACUCUUGAUAACACUUGUUUUCCUUCUAUCAAUAGUUUGUGAUAUAACAAAACAAUUCAUGCAUUUAUUCCUACAACAUCUUGUUCUCCUUCAGACGUGGGCAUGAGGCUUAUCAUGACUCUGCUUGGAAAUUAUUGUGAAAGUGAUUUCCAUGUCAUGAACUGUCAUUAUUGACAAGUGACAAAACUGUACCCAAGGUUCUUUCUCUCUUUAGAUCCUGGCUGCGUAACAACACUUCUUCCAAAUAAUUGUA